AACUCCCUGUAUCUGACCCCUUACCCAGAGCCUGCCCUCACAGUGCUCUCAGCGGCCAGGAUGAGGGUCUUUCUGUCUCUUGCAGGCAGCCCAGGGUCAGCCUUGGCCACAGUACAUCCUCAGUAAACACUGGUCAGAUGAAUGAAUACACAAAUGAAGAAACCAAAACUCGCUUCAGCAGCACAGAGGCAGCCCAACCUCAGGGACCCCAGGAGGACUGCCCUCCCCCUCCUGCCGGCCAGCCGCGCUCCCUGAGUCCCCAUAGACUUCCCCCGCACAACAGAUGUGGCAAGCAGGACUCUGAGUUUUGCCAGCACCUCUCCUGCCCGGGAGUAAAUAGCACAGUGAGCGCCUUGACGCCCGAGCUGCGUGACCUCAGGGCCCCUGGGGCUCAGCGCCCUUGUGCUGUGGACCCCACACCCUAAAAUCAAAC
rnacentral:lncRNA from 1 species